rnacentral:sRNA from 1 species
AAACAGCCCUGAUGGAAGCGGUAUCCUCGUAACGCAGUGAAGAGAUAAAGCGUACAGCAGGAAAAUGG